rnacentral:rRNA from 1 species
CCCGCUGAACUUAAGCAUAUCAAUAAGCGGAGGAAAAGAAACUAACAAGGAUUCCCCUAGUAACUGCGAGUGAAGCGGGAAAAGCUCAAAUUUAAAAUCUGGCAGUCUUUUGAUUGUCCGAGCUGUAAUCUAGAGAAGUGCUAUCCGUGCUGGACCAUGUACAAGUCUCCUGGAAUGGAGCGUCACAGAGGGUGAGAAUCCCGUCUCUGACAUGGACUACCAGUGCAUUGUGAUGUGCUCUCAAAGAGUCGAGUUGUUUGGGAAUGCAGCUCUAAAUGGGUGGUAAAUUCCAUCUAAAGCUAAAUAUUGGCGAGAGACCGAUAGCGAACAAGUACCGUGAGGGAAAGAUGAAAAGCACUUUGGAAAGAGAGUUAAACAGUACGUGAAAUUGUUAAAAGGGAAACGAUUGAAGUCAGUCGCGUCUACUUGGACUCAGCCUUACUUUGGUUUGGUGCAUUUCCUUGUGGACGGGCCAGUGUCCAUGUCGAUUGCUGGAAAAGGUUCAGAGGAAUGUGACUCUUUUAGAGUGUUAUAGCCUCGGUUCAUAUACAGUGGUUGAUAUGGAGUGGUACAGCAUGCUUCGGUGGUGCUUGUGCUGGCAUAAUGGCUUUAAACGACCCGUCUUGAAACACGG